AACGAACGCUGGCGGCAUGCCUAACACAUGCAAGUCGAACGAGACCUUCGGGUCUAGUGGCGCACGGGUGCGUAACGCGUGGGAACCUGCCCUUAGGUUCGGAAUAACUCCCCGAAAGGGGUGCUAAUACCGGAUAAUGUCUUCGGACCAAAGAUUUAUCGCCUUUGGAUGGGCCCGCGUUGGAUUAGCUAGUUGGUAGGGUAAAAGCCUACCAAGGCGACGAUCCAUAGCUGGUCUGAGAGGAUGAUCAGCCACACUGGGACUGAGACACGGCCCAGACAACUAAUGAAGGAAGAAGGGGGGGAUAUUGGAGAAGGGGUGAAAGUCAGAACCCGCAUUUCCGCGUGAGGGAAGAAGGACUUAGGGUUGUAAAGCUCCUUGACCCGGGAUGAGAAGAAGCGGACCUAAAGAAUAAGCUCCGAAUAACUCCGUG
rnacentral:rRNA from 1 species